rnacentral:rRNA from 1 species
UACGAAGGGGGCUAGCGUUGUUCGGAUUUACUGGGCGUAAAGCGCACGUAGGCGGUUUGUUAAGUCAGGGGUGAAAUCCCAGAGCUCAACUCUGGAACUGCCUUUGAUACUGGCAAGCUCGAGUCCGGAAGAGGUAAGUGGAACUCCUAGUGUAGAGGUGGAAUUCGUAGAUAUUAGGAAGAACACCAGUGGCGAAGGCGGCUUACUGGUCCGGAACUGACGCUGAGGUGCGAAAGCGUGGGGGAGCAAACAGG